AGGCUACUCACCAUGGACUUGGGGCUUAUAUUAGUUUUCUCUAUCCUUAUUUUAAAAGGUGUCCAGUGUGAAGUGCAGUUGCUGGAGUCUGGGGGAGGCUUAGUGCAGCCUGGAAACUCCCUGAAACUCUCCUGUGCAGCCUCUGCAUUCACCUUCAGUGAUUAUGCAAUGAGCUGGGUCCAUCAGGAUUCCGGGAAGGGUUUAGAAUGGGUCACAACCAUUGGUACUGAUAGUAGCGCCUACUAUACCAACGCCGUAAAGGGCAGGUUCACAAUCUCCAGAGACAAUGCCAAGAACACUCUGUACCUGGAAAUGAGCAGUCUGAUGGCUGAAGACACAGCCAUGUAUUACUGUGCAAGAGACACAGAGAGUGAUUGCUACUAUUUUGGAACUGGAGUGAAAACCCUAGGAAGAGACAAGGAGAAGAACACUCUGUACCUGGAAAUAGGCAGUCUGAGGUCUGAGGACACAGUCAUGUAUUACUGUGCAAAGUACACAGUUAGUGAAUACUACUGUGAGCUCAGACGCAAACCUCCCUGCGGGUUUCUAAGGACCAGCAGGGGGCACUAA